UACGGAGGGGGCGAGCGUCAUUCGGAAUUAUUGGGCGUAAAGGGCGCGUAGGCGGCUCGAUAAGUCAAAGGUGAAAUCCCUCGGCUCAACUGCGGAACUGCCUUUGAAACUGCCGAGCUCGAGUCCGGGAGGGGGUAGCGGAAUUCCCAGUGUAGCGGUGAAAUGCGUAGAUAUUGGGAGGAACACCAGUGGCGAAAGCGGCUACCUGGACCGGAACUGACGCUGAUGCGCGAAAGCGUGGGUAGCAAACAGG
rnacentral:rRNA from 1 species